UAUAUGUCUUCGAGAUAUAGAGACCGGCGCACGGGUGCGUAACGCGUAUGCAAUCUACCUUUUACAGAGGGAUAGCCCAGAGAAAUUUGGAUUAAUACCUCAUAGUAUAGCUGAAUCGCAUGAUUCUACUAUUAAAGUCACAACGGUAAAAGAUGAGCAUGCGUCCCAUUAGCUAGUUGGUAAGGUAACGGCUUACCAAGGCUACGAUGGGUAGGGGUCCUGAGAGGGAGAUCCCCCACACUGGUACUGAGACACGGACCAGACUCCUACGGGAGGCAGCAGUGAGGAAUAUUGGACAAUGGGCGCAAGCCUGAUCCAGCCAUGCCGCGUGCAGGAUGACGGUCCUAUGGAUUGUAAACUGCUUUUGUACGAGAAGAAACACUACUUCGUGAAGUAGCUUGACGGUAUCGUAAGAAUAAGGAUCGGCUAACUCCGUGCCAGCAGCCGCGGUAAUACGGAGGAUCCAAGCGUUAUCCGGAAUCAUUGGGUUUAAAGGGUCCGUAGGCGGUUUAGUAAGUCAGUGGUGAAAGCCCAUCGCUCAACGGUGGAACGGCCAUUGAUACUGCUAGACUUGAAUUAUUAGGAAGUAACUAGAAUAUGUAGUGUAGCGGUGAAAUGCUUAGAGAUUACAUGGAAUACCAAUUGCGAAGGCAGGUUACUACUAAUGGAUUGACGCUGAUGGACGAAAGCGUGGGUAGCGAACAGGAUUAGAUAC
rnacentral:rRNA from 1 species